rnacentral:rRNA from 1 species
CAACAGCGUAUAUUUAAGUUGUUGCAGUUAAAAAGCUCGUAGUUGGAUUUCGGUUAAGAGCGACCGGUCCGCCGUUUGGUGUGCACUGGUUGGUUUUAACUUCCUGUAGAGGACGUGCUCUGGGUUUAACGACCUGGACUCGGAGUCUACGUGGUUACUUUGAAAAAAUUAGAGUGUUCAAAGCGGGCUUACGCUUGAAUAUUUCAGCAUGGAAUAACACUAUAGGACUCCUGUCCUAUUUCGUUGGUCUCGGGACGGGAGUAAUGAUUAAGAGGAACAGUUGGGGGCAUUCGUAUUUCAUUGUCAGAGGUGAAAUUCCUGGAUUUAUGAAAGACGAACUUCUGCGAAAGCAUUUGCCAAGGAUGUUUUCAUUAA